CUCUGAAUUACUGAUUUACAAGACUGAUCUAUAAACAUGUAACUUGGUUCAUUUAUUCUUGGUUCAGAGAGGAGGAAGCUCCAUCUGAACAUCAGCUUUUCAGCUGGUUCUGUGUAAAAAAACUCAUCCAGCCCAUUAAGCUGCACCUUAUUACUCAAUGAAUCACUAUUCUGAGAUUAGAGAAGUUCUUCUAUCAGGAGAAUAUUUUAAUCAGAUUCCAGAUCCAUUUUAUCAAAA